rnacentral:rRNA from 1 species
CAGUCGCCGCGGGAAAACGAAGGGUGCAAGCGUUAAUCGGAAUUACUGGGCGUAAAGCGUGCGUAGGCGGUUGUGUAAGACAGGUGUGAAAUCCCCGGGCUUAACCUGGGAACUGCGCUUGUGACUGCACAGCUAGAGUAUGGCAGAGGGGGGUGGAAUUCCACGUGUAGCAGUGAAAUGCGUAGAGAUGUGGAGGAACGCCGAUGGCGAAGGCAGCCCCCUGGGCCAAUACUGACGCUCAUGCACGAAAGCGUGGGGAGCAAACAGGAUUAGAUACCCCGGUAGUCCCUGUCUCUUAUAC